CCGAGCGGGAGAGCGGGUCACGGGGUACUCCCGAGGAAGUUCCUUCCCUCACUGAAGAAGUGCGGCACCGUGAGGGUGCAGGGUGAGAACCUUGGCAACGCAGCAGAAACGAGACCUCCCCUCAGGAGAUGAUGAUGACGCGGCGCGAAAGCCGUCGAAGAUCUGUUGGGAUUGGUUGAAACGGGCGACCCGCACGAGGAAAAGCUCGAUAGGGGUCCAUGACCUCUUCGCGAGACCCGGGUGAGCUGAAAGACAAAUCCCGCUGAAACAGAAGGAGGACUACUCCCCGCACGG
rnacentral:RNase_P_RNA from 1 species